AGAGUUUGAUCAUGGCUCAGGACGAACGCUGGCGGCGUGCCUAAUACAUGCAAGUUGAACGAUGAUUUCUGGUACUUGUAUCAGAAUGAAGAGUAGCGAACGGGUGAGUAACGCGUGGGUAACCUACCUCUUAGCGGGGGACAACUAUUGGACAACGAUAGCUAAUACCGCAUAACAAUAUUAAACACAUGUUUAAUAUUUGAAAGUACCAAUUGGUACACUAGGAGAUGGACCCGCGUUGUAUUAGCUAGUUGGUAGUGUAAUGGACUACCAAGGCGAUGAUACAUAGCCGACCUGAGAGGGUGAUCGGCCACAUUGGGACUGAGACACGGCCCAAACUCCUACGGGAGGCAGCAGUAGGGAAUCUUCGGCAAUGGACGAAAGUCUGACCGAGCAACGCCGCGUGAGUGAAGAAGGUUUUCGGAUCGUAAAACUCUGUUGUUAGAGAAGAACGUUGUGUAGAGUGGAAAAUUACACAAGUGACGGUAUCUAACCAGAAAGGGACGGCUAACUACGUGCCAGCAGCCGCGGUAAUACGUAGGUCCCGAGCGUUGUCCGGAUUUAUUGGGCGUAAAGCGAGCGCAGGUGGUUUAAUAAGUCUGAUGUAAAAGGCAGUGGCUCAACCAUUGUGUGCAUUGGAAACUGUUAGACUUGAGUGCAGUAGAGGAGAGUGGAAUUCCAUGUGUAGCGGUGAAAUGCGUAGAUAUAUGGAGGAACACCGGUGGCGAAAGCGGCUCUCUGGACUGUAACUGACACUGAGGCUCGAAAGCGUGGGUAGCAAACAGGAUUAGAUACCCUGGUAGUCCACGCCGUAAACGAUGAGUGCUAGUUGUUUGGGGCUAUCCAGCCCUAAGUGCACGCAGCA
rnacentral:rRNA from 1 species